rnacentral:lncRNA from 1 species
UGAUUCAUGCGUAAAAAUGAAAAAUAAAAUUUAACUGCUUUGGAACGGAAAAUAAAACAACGAAUCAUUCAAAAAUAUUUGGCUCAUUAAUUACUAGAAUGAAAUUGGAAUAAAAAUCAAGAAUUUUGAAAGAGGGUUUUGAUUAAGAGAGAAGAGAGUAAUGAACGGAAAAAAAGGAAAGGUGUUUGUGAGAGAGGAUUUUGAGUAGUUUACUUUGAAAUUCGCUAAUCCGAAAUUCAAAGUCAGAUUGAGUGAUAAAUGGAUCUAGCCAUUUUCAUUUCAAGGUGAAAUAGGAAUCGAAAUUUGAUUUCUAUAAAACAAAUAACAACUAU